rnacentral:ncRNA from 1 species
GCAUGAUAAUAGCAAACUUACCGAAAAGUAAGGACGCAAAGCCAUGGAUCUAAGGGGUAUUUUUUUAUUCUAUGAUUGCCAGGUUGCCAAA